UGGGGAAUAUUGCACAAUGGGGAAAGCCCUGAUGCAGCGACGCCGCGUGAGUGAAGAAGUAUUUCGGUAUGUAAAGCUCUAUCAGCAGGGAAGAAGAAAGACGGUACCUGACUAAGAAGCCCGCGUACAUACGUGCCAGCAGCCGCGGUAAUACGUAGGGCGAAGCGUUAUCCGGAUUUACUGGGUGUAAAGGGAGCGUAGACGGCGGAGCAAGUCUGAAGUGAAAGCCCGCGUAUCAGCAGCAGUUGAUUGACUGUACUGCUGGAGUGCUGGAGAGGUAAGCGGAAUUCCUAGUGUAGCGGUGAAAUGCGUAGAUAUUAGGAGGAACACCAGUGGCGAAGGCGGCUUACUGGACAGUCACUGACGUUGAGGCUCGAAAAGCGUGGGGAGCAAAACAGGAUUAGAUACC
rnacentral:rRNA from 1 species